CAUGUGUGACCCUUCCUCUGGCUGUUGCUACUUGCUCUGCUCUAGGAAACCCUGUGGCAAAUUGGUGUCCUCACAUGACCUUCAUCAACUACCCAGUUCGGGAGACCGGGAGUGUUAGAACAAAGUCGACCUUGCAACUGGAGUCAGGGACUUCCUGAAGAGAACUGCGCUAGACAGAUGGGGUGCUUGAGGAUCAGAUGAGAAGUAACAGAACCCAGAAUGUGACUCAAGAUAAACUGAGCCAGGAGGCAAGCGAUGAUCCGUCCCCACGCACAGUGGCCACUCAGGACUCAGAUGUCAAAAUAACCUCUCUCCAUUUUCUCCAGGUGAGCACACAGCUCAUAACAGGUGAGCACACAGCUCUUCUUUCCACUUCAGGCCAGCAGCUCACUAUAUGAAGCUGCCACUGAACUCCCAGGAAGUCGUGACUUUGGACAAGCCUACACAAAGCUUUGGGACGAUGGCUCCUGUCCCACCCCAUUCUUGAUGAAAUAAGUGUUCAUGUUGAUUGGAAAAGUGAUGACUUUAUUUCAUUUUAUUUUUAGAAAAAAAAAUCACUGAGCACUGGAUGUCAGGGACAGCUGGAGUGUGUGGGACGUGGGACGCUAUUUUUUUCCUGGCUGCUUUGGGAACAGAGCAGAUGGGUGACUACUUGAUGACAUCAGGGGCCAUGGGUGGUAUACUCCAGCUGUUGACCAUAUGACCAAGUUUACUAUGGGCAAGGCAGAGUGCUUCCUGUCUGCUCCAGGUUUCCCCUGGCCUCCAGCUUCUGCAAACCCCCAUUGUUAGGUUCCUGUAUUCACAUCUGCUUAUGUUGUUCUGAAGUGAGUGGUCAAUGCUUCCUCUAAGAGAAUUGCCACACACCUUUGGCAGGAUGUGCAAAGAAGCACUAAAGUACAGUAAUGUGAGCAGUUGCUGGGCUCUCCACAUGGCGUGGGGAUAGCUCCCAUGGAAAGGUGGUGGGUCAGGUAAAGGGAGGGCCUCAGAAGAGCUCAUCCCCAAAGGCAGCCUUCAAACACUGCUCUGAGACCCCUCAUCGGCCUUAGGUCUUCCUGAGGCCACUGAAUGUUCCUCUGGUGUGAAACUGGAUACAAGACCAAAACACAGCACACCACACUCAGCACUUCACAGCCGGCAAAGAGCUCCAAACCUCACAUAUCGCAGGCAAUUGAUGAUCCUUUGCUACUCACUGCUACUUCUGCCUCAUCUCUUCUCCAGAUAGCCACACCCCCAGGCCCAGGGUUCAUGCCUCAUGGCUGUUGAAAUAUGAAAGAUGUCAGCAUGUGGAAGUAGCCACCUGUGUGGGGUUAAACAAAAUGUGUCUUAUCCUGGCUGACCCAAGCACCCUCCAUGGUCAGCAUGGGCUGGCUGCCCAGGGACACUUCUCCCUCACAGGCUUGGCUUGAGUCCGAACAGAUGGAAUGGGAGGAGAACUGGGAAGGUUUGAAUGCCCAUUGUUCAUUAGUCAUUUAAGGCUAGCCUAACCUUGGGCAUGAUAGGAGUCUCUAUGAGAACUCUAUUAAAUACUAUACUUGGGUUCCCCAAACACCUUACCUCUCUGUGAAAGUGAGAGCACCCUGUAACACCCUCCUUCUGUAUGCCCUGGAAAGGCUCCCUGACAAGCCACUCUGGGUAGUCUCCUGCCUCUGAGGUGCUGGCUCUGUACUAUCCUUCCUUUGUAUUUUAUUGGCCAAACCUUUCAUCAUCCCCAUUAAGUCCUUACUGCUCCAUAAGACUUUGCCUCUGAGGAGCUUACAGAUCCAGAAUGGAAUUCGCCUGGCAACCGGAAGAACUGGGGUUGGAACCCGUGCUAUUGAACUGAGGGCUGAGGCUUCCAUGUGGCUUGAGGUUUGGAGCCAGCAGGUUCUGGUUCUUCCUCCCUUGAGAGCCAUGUGAUACUUAGGGUACCUCUUCCUGUCUCUGGUCACGGAAGACUUCAUCUGUGGCUUCCUGUGAGUCCCUGUGGGAAGGUGACUCAAAGCCAGUUUUGAGUUCUGUAGAAACUUCUCCAGCACCAAGCAGGUAAUUCAGGGGUGGGUGCAGACUUGAUUUUGCAAGUGCAUCUGCUCUGUUUAUUUUUGCUUCUCUGCAGCAUUAUCGGCUUCUGCUCCAUAUGGGUGAUCCAUAUUGUGCCUCAGUGAAAUGAUACCACAUUAUGCUUUUAUGCCUUUAUCAUCAAACAGUACUCGUGAAAAAAAUCACCAGGUUUGCCUAGGUUCAUCUGUUCAAUUUAUUUUUCCCAAACUUUAUUUUGAAUAAAACACCUACGGUAAAUGUGAUUUAUGUAAAUGAAUAAAACAAAACUGUUAUA